rfam:Medicago truncatula strain A17 chromosome 1, whole genome shotgun sequence.
GUCUAUGAUGCAUACUUUGUAUAUGGUUCAGAAAUGCAAGAUAUUGCAUUUGUUGAAAACUUUGAACUAGGACGGUCUGAGGC